AAUAAACACAUUUCGUUGCAAGUUAUGUUAGAGUGGUGACGUUAUAACCAUUAUGAAAAAAGUAUAUAUUGUCUUUGUAACAAUUAUUUUGUUGCAAAGACAUUUUGAAUCACAUCCUUCACUUGUGAGUUCUAUUAAUUUAAUCAUUAAGUUUGUUUGCAUAAGUUUCACUAUUUUCGUAACAAUUAAUAUCUUUGUUAUGGAAGUCGACCUGAAUCGCGCCUACGGAAAAGAGCGCCGUUGAUCGUAAUUUUUAUCUUUAUAUUUAUGAAUGUCAAAUUUCAUUCAUCGUAAAAAAAAGAAAAAUGUUUCACCAUUUUCGUAACAAUUAAUCUCUUUGUUAUGGAAAUCGACUUCUGACGCGCCCACAGAAAGUCAUUAACAAUUUUUUUAUGCAUGUGACACGCCAUUCAGUAUCGAAUAAGUAAUAAAUAUUUUUUUCCACUUAAAACCAUGACGCUAUAAUAAAUUUGUAUAUCUUGUCUUUCUCAAUAUUAUUGCCACUUUCUGUUAUUAUUACCAAUAUGAAAUCUAUAUAUUUGGUCUUUGUAACAAUAUUUUUGUUGUUAAGAAUAUAUUAGAAUCUGUAUGUUAUGUCUUUGUAACAAUUAUUUUGCUGCAAGGCAAUUUUGAAUCACAUCGACCUCUUCACUCAUGGGUUUUAUUAAUCAUUAAGUUUAUUUUGACAUAAGUUUCACCUUUUCCAUAUCAAUUGAUAUCCUUGUUAUGGAAUACGACUUGUAUCGCGUCCCCAGAAAGGAGCGCCGUUUAUCGUAAUCAUUAUUUUCUUUAAAUUUAUGAAUAUCAAAUUUAAUUCUUUAUUGUUUUCUCAGUGUCGCCAUCUGAACCAUUAAAACAAAAAUCUUAAAAAGUAAUAUUUGUAUUUGUAUUAUAAUGAUCAUCAGCAUUUCGUAUUUUUUCACUAUUUUCGUAACAAUUAAUAUCUUUGUUAUGGAAGUCGACUUGAAUCGCGCCUACGGAAAAGAGCGCCGUUGAUCGUAAUUUUUAUAUUUAUAUUUACGAAUGUCAAAUUUCAUUCAUCAUAAACAAAGAAAAAUGUUUCACCAUUUUCGUAACAAUUAAUAUCUUUGUUAUGGAAAUCGACUUCUGACGCGCCUACAGAAAGUCAUUAUCAAUUUUUUUAUGCAUGUUACACACCAUUCAGUAUCGAAUAAGUAAUAAAUAAUUUUCUCCACUUAAAACCGUGACACAAUACUAAAUUUGUAUAUUUUGUCUUUCUCAAUAUUAUUGCCAUUUUCUGUUAUUAUUAACAAUAUGAAAAUCUAUAUAUUUGGUCUUUGUAACAAUAUUUUUGUUGUUAAGAAUAUAUUAGAAUCUGUAUGUUAUGUCUUUGUAACAAUUACUUUGUUGCAAGGAAAUUUUGAAUCACAUCGACCGCAUUACUCAUGGGUUUUAUUAAUCAUUAAGUUUAUUUUGACAUAAGUUUAAUCUUUUCCAUACCAACUGAUAUCCUUGUUAUGGAAUACGACUUGUAUCGCGUCCCCAGAAAGGAGCGCCGUUUAUCGUAAUUAUUAUUUUUUUAGUUAUGAAUAUCAAAUUUCAUUCAUUAUUAAUUAAAAAAAACAACUAUUAUAGGAGCAAUUUCCCAUUUACAAAACCAUUUCAGGCUUUAUUUAUUCGGCCUCAUUUUAACCCCCUAGAGUGAUUUCCAUUCACAUGUCUAAGUUAUGUAUCUAAGUCCUCGUAGCUCCUUUAACUCCGUUUAAUGUCCUUAUUACAGUGUUUCAUUAAUCUUAUUCUCGGUGUGACUAAUUCUCUCCGGGUUGUACUCUUCGUCGUGUUUAAUCAGAGGACUUUCAUUACCAUCACAUCAUCGGCUCUGAGUACCAUUUCCUCUCCGCUUUUCCAUCCUCGUUUCCCUUCGUCGUAAGAACUGAAUUUCUUAUGAAUCCCGACCUACUUCUCCUCCCUUUUUUAGGAGCGUCGUUAUCCCUAAUCUUUAUCUUUAUUAUUUUUUUUAAUCUUUUGGUCGGUCCCGUUUAUUUGAAUUCCAACGUCCCAUCGUCAUAUCUUGUCAGUGUCUUUUUAGAAAUGAUUAAUGCGUCUGUGUUCAAAGGCGUCAAAAUUGCUUUCCAUUAUCCUCAUGACAGUUAUAUUCAUUGUAAAAUUCAAAUAGCCUUUGAAUAUUAUAGAAUAUAUAUAUAUAUUUUUUUUUUGUUCUGUUAUAUGUAUCGGAAUUGCUAUAAGUUCAAUCAAUUAUCUUAUAAAUUAGGCUGCCAUCAUAACAAUAAACUUCAUUGUUAUGAAAAAAGACUAUGAUGAGACAACAGUUUCGAAAUCCAGAUGGGUUAUGUGUGUAAUGCGUUUUCUGCAAUCGAAAAAAAUACCAUCAUCAAAAUCAUCAAUCAGUCAUCACCAUUACCAUCACCAUCACAUCAUCAUCAUCAUCAUCAUCAUCAUCGGCAUCGUCAUUAUCAUCGCCAUCGUCAUCAUCAUCAUCAUCAACAACUUCUUUGUGUUUAAUCAAAGCACCAAACGUUUCACACUGUUCUUAGAUCAUAUUAGCAUGUAGAUAUAUGUUUACUAAACCUCAGUGUAUAAUUGAUAUGAAAUGUUUUUCAACACUUAAAAACUUGUGAUGUAUGAUGUAUGUAAGAAAAUGUAAAACAUACAUAUUUUAUGAUUUUUGUUCCUCACUAUAUAUGGUAUAAUGUGACAUGUUAUCACAUACCAUGAUUAUGUUUCUUAUUAAAUCUUAUUAUGUAAAAAUGAAACAGCUCAUUAUAGCCAUCAACACUAAGAAGGAAUAAUAAUAAUUUGUCAUUAAAAUUAGGUUGUCGUCUUUAUAAUCUAGUGGUUGGUCACAUUUACUGUUAUAUUUCUUCAUGUAUAAGAUAAUCUUAUUUUUCUUACUUCGAAGUAUAUUUCAUACAUUUUUAUAGCUCGAUUUUACAACUGCAUGUUAGAACAUAUUAAUAGUUUAGAUCUUAUUCAUCACUUGCGAUAUUUAUAUAAAAAUGUUUAUGUAUAAUGUACAUUAUCAUUUUCAUUACCAUUGUUAUUAAUAUAACCCUGUUGAUGUAACAUUUCUUAAACACAUCUGUAUGUUUAAAAAAUGCAAUCAUGUACAACUGUAUUUAUUAAGAUUUUUUUAUCGAUUUAUGUCAGAUGUUAUUAGGUAUUGUUCCUUCAUUAUAUUUGUAACAUGAAUAGAGGACACACGUGUCACUCGCUUCCAUGUGCUUUCUUUAAUAUUAUAUAAUUUAAAUCUCAAUAUAUAGUUCUGGAAAUGUAGAUGCCAUGCCUCAAGUGUGACCUCAGUGUUUAAAUGUGACUGUUUCAAAGAUGAAUGCCCAACCUAAGUGUAACUUUAGUCUCUAAGUAAGACUCCUGUCUACAAGAAUGAUAUCAGAGGGCACAGAGUGAGACUUCAGUCUACAAACACAAGACAGGCCUUCAGGAGAGACUUCAACUGCAUGUAGGAGAUUUCCAGAAGCCAUCUAGCAAUACCACACUCCAGCAUGAGGCACAAACCCAAAGGACGUCCACCAGCAGGAGAGAACACUGGGCAUUAGGCAUCAAGUGAGCUCCUGAGGGCCAUUAAGCCUGAGACGGAAGUUCAGCCUGAGGCAUCCUGUCAGUGCCUAGGACAUCCAUAUAUGAGUCAGUUUCUGCCUGAGACAUCCAUUUCAGUCUGAGAUCUGAAACGUCCUGCCUCAUUUCAGGCUGAGCUCUCACUUGCUCGGAAACUCACUUCCUAGUCUCUCAGAAGUCUGGGCACAUCAGUCACGGUGGUUUCUUGCCCUUUACUCCAAGGUCACCCUCAAAGAAGCAGGUCACUCUAGGGUAAAACAUGGAGACUUCAGUGCCACAUUGGGUUUCAGUCUGAGAUCUGAAACGUCCUGCCUCAUUUCAGGCUGAGCUCUCACUUGCUCGGAAACUCACUUCCUAGUCUCUCAGAAGUCUGGGCACAUCAGUCACGGUGGUUUCUUGCCCUUUACUCCAAGGUCACCCUCAAAGAAGCAGGUCACUCUAGGGUAAAACAUGGAGACUUCAGUGCCACAUUGGGUUUCAGUCUGAGAAGUCACAUGAAAGCCUGAGAUGUCACACUUAGGAAGUUGGAAUGGGUCGUAGUUACACUUGAACGGAUCAUGUCGCAUUGAUUUCGUUUAAUUAGAGUGUUUUCAAUUAAUUCAUUGUGUCCUUAACAUUCAGUUGUAGGCCGAUAUAAAAUGAUUUAUCCGUGUGUGUGUGUGGACAUAUGGUUAUUGUAUUACUAUCCAGUUGUAUUAUCUAGAUGUUUCAAAAAGAUCUGCCAUUUAUUGUGCUAUCUCUCAAAUUCCUUUGUUAUUUUGUAUUCCAUUAUUUACUGAGUAAAGACCAUACGUUGAAA